rnacentral:rRNA from 1 species
AUUGAACGCUGGCGGCAUGCUUUACACAUGCAAGUCGAACGGGGUGGAGGGGCAACUCUCCAUUCAGUGGCGAACGGGUGAGUAAUGCAUCGGAACGUGCCCCGUAGUGGGGGAUAACGCCGCGAAAGCGGCGCUAAUACCGCAUAUGCUCUACGGAGGAAAGUGGGGGAUCCGCAAGGACCUCACGCUACGGGAGCGGCCGAUGUCCGAUUAGCUUGUUGGUGGGGUAAUGGCCUACCAAGGCGACGAUCGGUAGCUGGUCUGAGAGGAUGAUCAGCCAAACUGGGACUGAGACACGGCCCAGACUCCUACGGGAGGCAGCAGUGGGGAAUUUUGGACAAUGGGGGCAACCCUGAUCCAGCCAUGCCGCGUGCGGGAAGAAGGCCUUCGGGUUGUAAACCGCUUUUAGCCGGGAAGAAAAGGGCACGGAUAACACCCGUGUCUCUUGACGGUACCGGCGGAAUAAGCACCGGCUAACUACGUGCCAGCAGCCGCCGUAAUAC